GACGAACGCUGGCGGCGUGCUUAACACAUGCAAGUCGAGCGGAAAGGCCCUUCGGGGUACUCGAGCGGCGAACGGGUGAGUAACACGUGAGUAAUCUGCCCUUCACUUUGGGAUAACCUCCGGAAACGGUGGCUAAUACCGAAUGCGACCACUUCCUGCAUGGGAUGGUGGUGGAAAGCUUUUGCGGUGGGGGAUGUGCUCGCGGCCUAUCAGCUUGUUGGUGAGGUAAUGGCUCACCAAGGCUUCGACGGGUAGCCGGCCUGAGAGGGUGACCGGCCACACUGGGACUGAGACACGGCCCAGACUCCUACGGGAGGCAGCAGUGGGGAAUAUUGGACAAUGGGCGGAAGCCUGAUCCAGCAACGCCGCGUGAGGGAUGACGGCCUUCGGGUUGUAAACCUCUUUCGCCUAGGACGAAGCGCAAGUGACGGUACUAGGUAAAGAAGCACCGGCCAACUACGUG
rnacentral:rRNA from 1 species